rnacentral:rRNA from 1 species
GACGAACGCUGGCGGCGUGCCUAAUACAUGCAAGUAGAACGCUGAAGCUUGGUGCUUGCACCGAGCGGAUGAGUUGCGAACGGGUGAGUAACGCGUAGGUAACCUGCCUGGUAGCGGGGGAUAACUAUUGGAAACGAUAGCUAAUACCGCAUAAGAGUAGAUGUUGCAUGACAUUUGCUUAAAAGGUGCAAUUGCAUCACUACCAGAUGGACCUGCGUUGUAUUAGCUAGUUGGUGAGGUAACGGCUCACCAAGGCAACGAUACAUAGCCGACCUGAGAGGGGGAUCGGCCACACUGGGACUGAGACACGGCCCAGACUCCUACGGGAGGCAGCAGUAGGGAAUCUUCAGCAAUGGACGGAAGUCUGACCGAGCAACGCCGCGUGAGUGAAGAAGGUUUUCGGAUCGUAAAGCUCUGUUGUAAGAGAAGAACGAGUGUGAGAGUGGAAAGUUCACACUGUGACGGUAUCUUACCAGAAAGGGACGGCUAACUACGUG